AGAGUGUCGCCCCCAUUCUCUCUCACUCUCUCCUCUCACCCCAUUACCCAUUCAACCCUAGCCGCUACCGAUGGUCCACCACCGACCGACCUCCUCUCUCCUACUUUUCCCAUCACCACUAGUAUCAUGUCACCUGUCUUUUCUCCCUCGCCUCGUCAUAUUUCUGAGAUCAUCAGAAAUCUCUGAACUUCCAGUGGUUGUCAUUCGGUUAACCAUAUAAGGAUCUUGAAGAUCCAGAGGUCGCAUGGGGAAAUAUCCGCAAGAACAGGCGAGUCAUAGCAUCUUCAGGACUCAGAGCAUCUCAGACCAGUGGAGAUUCAACUCUCUCUGCGGAGAUCUAAGCCUAAUGGUUCCCUCUUCCUAACAUCAAUCUCUCCUAGGCAUCUGAAAAGGUGAGUUUCUUCAAUCUCAAAUAAUCUUUUUCUUCUGCCUCCCCCUUCUUCUUUCAAUUUUAGAGAACCGUCAGUUUUUGAAAUUCAAAACCCGAGUUCUGGUGAGCCACAACUAUGGCUAUAAAUACCGGAGUUCAUGACUUUCACUGACAUCUAGAUACCACAACUGAAACUUACUAACUCACUUUAAAACACUCUCAAUCUCUCAGCUCUAACUUAUUUUUCUUUUUGUUGUUUUCAAAUUCGGUCGAGCUUGAGUUCUGGGUUCGAUUUUGGAGACGGAUCUUUGACAAUCUUGUUCUAGCCCUAGUUUGCUGCUCAGCAUAAGAUUGAAGUACUAACGGGCUGAACCGACGUCGUGUGGUUAGGUAAACAACAAAGGAUCUGACAUGUUCAUCUGGUGGUCAUCUUGGCGCGUAGGCGCAGCUGCAGAGGAAACUUUAUAGUGAGCUGCAUUUCAGGCUAUGCAUCGCAGCCCACAGAGUCUUCAUCUUACUAUUUACUUUAUCCUGUCUUAUUUACAUUCCGGACAUAUGUUGUAUUAUUAUUAUAUUCCUUAGCAAAUGCUC